UGAGUAACGAUCGCUAUCAGGUGAUAACAACCGGUAACGACAACUCUCCGAGGCACUAUAAGGUCUCCCACAAGUAUAUACGCUCUAAUUAGAAAUAAAUUUUAAUACAAAUACAAACACAACAUUUAAAAAUAAUUUUUCUAUGAAUAAUCAACUUCUAUGUCAUCAUUUAAAUAGACAUUUUAUCUAAUACUAUUAAACGAGCAAUUCCUUUGUCCCUGUUUUUAGACAAUGAAAAAAUGGCUACAAUAUAGUUAGAAUACGAACGCAAAUUUCGCAAUUGUAAAUAAAGUUGUAAUAGCUCAGGUGGAAAGUCAAGUCAGUCGAUCGAGAUCAACCGAUAACCACGCUUUAAAUCCCCAUGGCCCCAGAUCGAUUUUUUUUUCCUUUUUUUUAAAUUGCACUCAUGAUUUUUUAUUUAAAUAACCAGUUCAUAUUUAUUCGUAUUUUAUCAAUAUGUAAUUCGUAAAUAUGAUUUCCAAAAAACACGAUUUACUAAAAAUACCGAGCUAAGCU
rnacentral:misc_RNA from 1 species